AGCCCGGUCUUUGCCCCGGAUCAACUUGAAUAGUUAUGACGGUUUCCGACCAGGGAAAAUAGAUUCUUGUACGUAGAGGUGAUUUCAGACUACGUUCCGAAUGUCUCUUGUCUACGUACAAUACAUUU
rnacentral:snoRNA from 14 species